UACGAAGGGGGCUAGCGUUGCUCGGAAUCACUGGGCGUAAAGGGUGCGUAGGCGGGUCUUUUAAGUCAGAGGUGAAAGCCUGGAGCUCAACUCCAGAACUGCCUUUGAUACUGAGGAUCUCGAGUUCGGGAGAGGUGAGUGGAACUGCGAGUGUAGAGGUGAAAUUCGUAGAUAUUCGCAAGAACACCAGUGGCGAAGGCGGCUUACUGGUCCGGUUCUGACGCUGAGGCGCGAAAGCGUGGGGAGCAAACAGG
rnacentral:rRNA from 1 species